UGGUGGAGUGAUUUGUCUGCUUAAUUGCGAUAACGAACGAGACCUUAACCUGCUAACUAGUCCGCAUUGCUUUGGCAGUGUGCCGACUUCUUAGAGGGACUAUCGGCUCAAGCCGAUGGAAGUUUGAGGCAAUAACA
rnacentral:rRNA from 1 species